UGGUGCGCCCGAUAGGAAUCGAACCCAUAACCUACAGAUCCGAAGUCUGUCGCUCUAUCCAGUUGAGCUACGAGCGC
rnacentral:tRNA from 1 species